UCUAGCAGGGCUAUUUGUUGUUGAACUGCGAGCAGAAUUGCGAAGUCUGCUUACAUGAGCUGGUUGGGUCGAGAUAAUGCAAUGGGAUAUCACCUCAGUAAAACCUUCACUGGGAAUCACCUUGUGUAAAACAGUGUUUCUAUGUUGUCUUAGAACGAAGAAAGG